rnacentral:rRNA from 1 species
AAUGGAGAGUUUGAUCCUGGCUCAGGACGAACGCUGGCGGCGUGCUUCAUACAUGCAAGUCGAACGCGAAUCGGUAGCUUGCUACCGAGGAAAGUGGCGGACGGGUGAGUAAUGUGUAGAGAAUCUGCCCUAGAGCGGGGGACAACAGCUGGAAACGGUUGCUAAUACCCCAUAUGAGCGUAUCUGAAAUGGUAUUCUUGAAAACUCCGGUGCUCUAGGAUGAGUCUGCAUCUGAUUAGCUAGUUGGGGGUGUAAUGGACCACCAAGGCGACGAUCAGUAGCUGGUUUGAGAGGAUGAUCAGCCACAAUGGGACUGAGACACGGCCCAUACUCCUACGGGAGGCAGCAGUAGGGAAUUUUGCGCAAUGGGCGAAAGCCUGACGCAGCAACGCCGCGUGAUUGAAGAAGGCCUUCGGGUUGUAAAGAUCUUUAAUCAGGGACGAAAAAUGACGGUACCUGAAGAAUAAGCUCCGGCUAACUACGUGCCAGCAGCCGCGGUAAUACGUAGGGAGCAAGCGUUAUCCGGAAUCAUUGGGCGUAAAGAGUUCGUAGGUGGUUUGUUAAGUUUGGUGUUAAAUGCAGAGGCUCAACUUCUGUUCGGCAUCGGAUACUGGCAGACUAGAAUGCGGUAGAGGUAAAGGGAAUUCCUGGUGUAGCGGUGAAAUGCGUAGAUAUCAGGAGGAACAUCGGUGGCGUAAGCGCUUUACUGGGCCGUAAUUGACACUGAGGAACGAAAGCCAGGGUAGCAAAUGGGAUUAGAUACCCCAGUAGUCCUGGCCGUAAACGAUGGAUACUAGGUGUUGCGGGUAUCGACCCCUGCAGUGCCGUAGCUAACGCGUUAAGUAUCCCGCCUGGGGAGUACGCACGCAAGUGUGAAACUCAAAGGAAUUGACGGGG